UUUUUUAUGCUCUGCUGAGUAAGAAGAGAGGUGAGCUCAGCUUUCUGACAGCUGGCCUGAAACCUCUGCUUGGAUGAUCUGUUCAUGUGACGGUUUUGCUAUAAGUUUGCUUAUAUUUAUAGCCGAUGCACUUAAAAGAAAGCGAGUCAUUUUCGUGUUUAAGAAACUGAUGAAUCGGGUACAACAAAUACAGAUUGAAUAAAGGACACACUGACCACACAGUGACUCAUCAUCAAAGCCUCUGCCACACACUGGGAAUUAGCGACCUUGGGCACCUGACAAUAAGAUGUUGUCCAAACUGCUUUUCUUAUCAGUCUCCAAGCAGCCUUUCUAUAUCUGGGAAACUUAUCAUCAGGUCUUUUCAGGCUAAACUCUCCCACAGCCUCCUACAACUUUCUGCAGCUCAGACACAAGGAAAGAUAUGCAACCAUGGCAAUGUGGAGCUUAGCUUUGAUCUGGGACAUGGUACAGUAAAUCAAAUCAACUGCGCUCCUUCUUGUGCUACCUUAUUUAUCUUCAGCACUUUCCAUUCACUGCUAAAAGUUACUUCAAGCUGUACAGGGUCAAAGGGAGGCGUUUGAUCAUAUUCCAGCUGCCACAGGGCGAGAGGCAGGGCCCACCCUGGACAGGUUGCCAGCCCAUUGCAGGGUUUCAAUAUUCCCAUAACAACAAUCUGAUGAAUUGACAAAAUAUUCAUCAGAUUAAUGUUCCUCCACUGCUGAAGGAUUCUCCACUCUCACGCUAUCUGACGAGGCCUGUCCCCGGACCUGUCUGGCAUCAGGAGCCCCUGGCACGAUGCUCCCUAUUGAGUCUUGACAAAAAGUAGGUCACUUGCAAAGCUCCUGCUGGACACGCGCAGUGGAAAGAAAAUAAACGGGGCAGAUGAAUGGAGCUCGACUGGAGGUGGACGGGCUUCCUGCGAGGGCCUCAGAGGGAUGCUGAGACAGAGGUUAAGAUAAUGCAAAGCCAGUAAUGUAAUGCUGUUUCUGUUAUUCGCUAUAGCUGUGGAGAUUAUCGUCCGU
ensembl:lncRNA